UCCAAGUCGAGCGGAUUUCUCCUUCGGGUGAAGUUAGCGGCGGACGGGUGAGUAACACGUAGGCAACCUGCCUGCAAGAUCGGGAUAACUAUCGGAAACGAUAGCUAAGACCGGAUAGCUGGUCUUCUCGCAUGAGGAGAUCAUGAAACACGGAGCAACCUGUGGCUUGCAGAUGGGCCUGCGGCGCAUUAGCUAGUUGGUAGGGUAACGGCCUACCAAGGCGACGAUGCGUAGCCGACCUGAGAGGGUGAUCGGCCACACUGGGACUGAGACACGGCCCAGACUCCUACGGGAGGCAGCAGUAGGGAAUCUUCCGCAAUGGACGCAAGUCUGACGGAGCAACGCCGCGUGAGUGAUGAAGGUUUUCGGAUCGUAAAGCUCUGUUGCCAGGGAAGAACGCCUAGGAGAGUAACUGCUCAUAGGG
rnacentral:rRNA from 1 species